rnacentral:sRNA from 1 species
AAACUUGGUACAAAGUAUUCUCAAAGAAAGCUAUGAAAAAAAAGCCAAAGGUUAUAUUUUGUAUUGACUUGAUGGAAACAAAAAACAAACUCUCACCCACACAGCCAAACCGAAAAAUCUUUUCUUAGUGCUAUCAAGGGUAUGUGUGUGUGUGUGUUUGUUUGUGUGUGGGUGGCUGUUCACAACAAAGUUACUUAAGCAAAAUACCAUCCCCUAAUGCAUGUGAAUGGCAACCAAAAACAGUCAACACAAAGAACUACCCUCUGUUGUGGAUCUGCGCGGCGAUGUGGUAGUGUUGCAUUGCUGGUCUGUGAGGAUGGAGGAAAAGUUAAAACCUAAUUUAGCUAAUGACAGAUGAACAACAUCAAUGAGAGCGAGAUCCAGCAUGAAAGAAGGAAUGAUGAUGGACUCAAUGGAACAGGUUUUUGUUGGUCGCUUUCACGACUGGCGAACAAAGUGUUCUUCUGUGUGUAAGAGAUGUGCAUAAAGAUGCGAAAAUGAAAUUAAAUACGACAAAACACCUGAGUUCACUUUCACGUAGGGCAAGAACUUUUAGAUACGAGGGAAUGAAAGAUCAAAUUGAACUUUUACUUUUCGGAAAAUGAAGAAGGCAUUCAUUUGUUACUAUGCACAUGCUAACAAUAUUGAAGGCGGAAAUUAAUUAAAAAUUCUGCAAGACUGA